rnacentral:lncRNA from 1 species
GGCAAUUCUUCAACUGAGCUACCUUCUUCACAGGUGGUUCUGGAGUGUAUCAAGUGGAGCAUUAAAGGCUCUGCUGUGUGCCUGCAGAACGCAGGGACUGCCUUCCCAGCUGCCUCUGCGCAGCCAGAACCUUCCACUGAGAAGCCAGGCGCUUCUACAUGGUAGAGCUGAGCCAAGAACUUCAGACGUAACCAACGCACAGGACAAGCUCUGGGGACCGUGUCUCCUGAACGCACACGACACAAGCUGAGGGGAGCCACUCCUUAGAAACAAUUAAACAGGAAUAUUACAGGAUUCAGUAUCCCUCUUUGGGAACUGGUGGACCCGUCACCCCCAAAUGAAAUCAGCACUUCUCAAAGUGUCCUGUAUUUAUGGUAGCACUAGCCACAGUAGCCAGGAUACAAAAAAAAAAAAAAAAAAAAAGAAAAAAGAAAAAAGAAAAAAGAAAGAAAGAAAGAAAGACUUGUGAAUGGCUAAAGUUUGAUACACACCUCUAGAGAGAGGGGGAGAGAGAGAGCCUUAAAAAUUAAAAAUGAAUUUUAAGGAAUUAUAUCACAUUCUAAACAUGUGUAACAAACAAACAAAAAGGAGGAUGUUUCUUUGACCUUGUGGUUGUUUUAUAGGCUCCUCAUCAGAACACCUUAUAUCCUUAGCUGAGGUUCCUAUGUUCCCCAGAAACCAUAAGCCCCCUUAACUUUGCUCUGAUUUUUCUGACUGCUUUCUACACUUACUGAUAGUAGCACAACACCUUAGAAACCUGGAUCUUGAUGACAUCUGCACACAGCUUAAAGAGAAUAUUGGCUUCAACAUGCCACAAUUUAGACAUAUUUGGGGCUGGCCAUCUAGAAAUGGACUUUGGACUUGAAAUUCCCAGAACCCUCAGCAACACAGCGUCCCUCCACUCUGAUCCACAUGCUGUGGUCCAGGCGUAAGGUAGUGUGUCUGAGAGAACACUGUGAGGGACUCGGUCAGCUCACUGGACUCGGCUUCUCAUACUGUCUAAAUGUGAGCUCGGUGCUGGGUCUGUGUCCUGAUGACGCCACAGCCACUUCCUGUUGUGCAAAAACCAAGCUAUCAAGUUUGAACUGCUUUGAACUGCCAUCUUGAAUAUAGAGAAAUGGAGCACAGACGCUGGCCUGGUGCCCCCUUCUCCCAGUGUGAAGAAAUGGACGUCUGACUAGCAAGUUCCCUCUCAAAUUUUCAAGACUCCCAUAGUAAGAAAAGAAGAAAGCCAGAUGGUUCCAGUUUUGUUUGUGGAAGCAACCACAGAGGACUCACACUGAGCCCAGCUGCCUCUUCACCCUUGCAGGUUUCUGUGGGUUGUACCUGUUCCUCUUGGUUCUCCAUUGUUCCUUGUCCAUCAGUGGGUAGACAAACGUCAAUUAUUUCUGGUGAAGCAAUGGAUCAUACUAACCAUGGACUGAAACUCCAGACGCCAUGACUUCAGACUCCGGCUACCUUGGAGACAGCUGUGUGAGCACUGAAAGUGGUGAUAACUAUAAUUGACUGUGGAAAUAAUGAUGAUCCAUAAAUCUACAUUGGAACUCUGUGUGCAUGUGAGAGAGACAGGAACACACACACACACACACACACACACACACACACACACACAAAUCCUUCUUUCUCUACUUUUCUUCUACAGUAAUUUUUUUAUAAUAAUAAGUGACCAACAUACUAGGUCCUUAGUGAAAAUAGUAUUCUAAGAUAAUAGUUUCUCACUACCUUAGAGAUUAACAAACUGGAGGUGUUAUCGUAAGAUUUAUCUCAAACUAAGAGCAAAGAGAUAGAUAACUUGAUGUAAAAAGUGAAUGGUUAAUUCACAUAUAAGAAACACGGGUAGCAAUGAAACAUUACAUGGAUGUUGGUAAAGGAAGUGGGAUGUAUAAACCUUACAUAAUCCCAGCAUGGAUGAGGGCAUGGCACCCCUCCAAGGAACAAUGCAAGUGACAGCUUCUGAGAGAGGGAGAUACAGUGUUCUUCAUGAGUGUGGCCCCUGCUAGGCUGACUACGCUCCAGUGGAAAGCCACAUACCAAGGUAUAUGACCAGGCAUAAAUGGACGUAAUGAAUUUACAAAACCAAGGACAUAAAGUUGGACAGAGAAGGAAUGAGGCAUAGAUCUGGGAGAAAUUGCUGGAGGGCAAUGGAUAUGAUCUAAAAAAUAAAAUAAAAUAAAAUAAAAUAAAAUAAACGCUACAAAGCAAUA